rnacentral:sRNA from 1 species
GCCAGGUGUGGUGGCACACACCUAUAAUCCCAGCAGCUGGGGAGGCUGAGGCAGGAGGAUGACAAGUUCAAAGCCAGUAUCAUCAAUUUAGCAAGGCCCUAGUGAGACCCUGUCUCAA